UUUGAUGAUUCUGUUCCUAUUUGUCUGACUACUCAUCUCUGUCAACAAUGCUGGAUCUUCAGCCAGGUCACUCCCACUCUUUAUGACGCUCCAUCUGCCUUCUCCACGUGGGCUUGUGCUGGUCAUGUGACAUGCCUGGACUACCUCUACCUCACAAGAGAACCUGUGAGACACAGCCUUCUGCAGGAAGCCUUUCACAGAUCCUGGGGCCCUCCUUUCCCAGACAGUUUUUUAAAAGCUUUCUGCAGAAGCAGCUGACAAAGAGAGUUUAGUCAUAUCUUCACUAGGAAGGAGUGCAUUAAGUGUUAUAGACACCAAGAAAGCAAAACAACUCUUAUUACAGAAGUAUCUGUGAGACCUAUGACAUUCACAAUUUGAAAAAGUAAAUUAGACAAGAAUUAUAUUAUUUGUAGUGUAAUUGGAUAUGGAUCACCGGAUAUGGAUCACCAUUACUUGUGACACUCUUUUGAUAGACCAGCAACUCAGCAUAUUUUUGAAGUCACAGGAUCACUAAAGUUUAGGAAAUAUUUUUUCUACAAGAUUAUGGGAGAAUCUUAUUCUUCACCCACGAGAUCAGAUUAGCAUAUGGAAUCCCUAGGAUUUUAAUGUAUAUUCUUUUGACAUAUGAGGGACAUUAUAAGACAGACAUGACAUAGGCUAGGUAUAUGUAGGCUAAAAUCACUUAUGUAAAGGACUAGAGACAGAACUUCUCUCUCCACUCUGACAGAGUCACACAUGAAUAAAUUCGACUCUCAAGCUUAUCUGCUGCAGAAUUUUGUGUGUGUGCGUGCACAUGCAUGUGUGUGCACAUUCCUAAUGUUAAUUAGCUCCCAGCAUAAUAUAAGUAAAUAAGUAGAUAACAGUCAACCAAGCAAAAAGAGCAUUUGUAGAGUUUAGAGAAAGGUCCAUCCAUUACCAUUUUAUAGAUGAAGAAAUUGAGACCCACUGAAGAAAAAUGCUUCACAGAGAGUAAGAAGCAUAGCUAAGAUUUGAAGUCAGGUGCUCUUGACUACAAACCCAGUUCCAUCCUGAUUGCUUGAAAUAGAGUCACUUUGCUGGAUGAAAAAGAGAAUUUCAAAAUACAGGUCAAGUAAAUUUUUAGGAGAAAAGAGAGAUACUAAACAUCACAAAUGUUCUGUAUAUUCUACCACCAAAACCACAAUACUAAAAACAUUAAAGGCAGAUGUACAGGGAAGUUGAAUUUUUAAAUCAGUUGCCAAAAUUAGG